rnacentral:tRNA from 1 species
GGAGAGAUGCCAGAGCGGCCGAAUGGGUCGGUCUCGAAAACCGAUGUACUGCUUGCAGUACCCUGGGUUCGAAUCCCAGUCUCUCCGCCA